GACAGAGGGUGCAAACGUUGCUCGGAAUUACUGGGCGUAAAGCGCGUGUAGGCGGACCACCAAGUCAGACGUGAAAUCCCUCGGCUUAACCGGGGAACUGCGUCUGAUACUGGAUGGCUCGAGUUUGGGAGAGGGAGUGCGGAAUUCCAGGUGUAGCGGUGAAAUGCGUAGAUAUCUGGAGGAACACCGGUGGCGAAGGCGGCAUCCUGGACCAACACUGACGCUGAUGAGCGAAAGCCAGGGGAGCAAACGGGG
rnacentral:rRNA from 1 species